UAAAGUAACACUUUGAUUUGAUGAUUCUAGCCAUGUGAUUUAUAUCUCAUAAGCCAUAGACAGAUGGAACAAAAUGACCCCAUUCAAAGGGCCAUGAGACACGGCUUUAAAGCAUUGGACAGUUUGACUGUUGAGCAGAUAAAUGAGCCAUCAGGGCAGUGGCACUGCCCGGCAUGCCAUGAUGGCCCAGGUGCUAUUGACUGGCAUCGAGGUCGAUAGCCUCUUAUUACUCAUGCAAAUACAAAAGGUGCCUAAAGGGUGAAGCUACAUCGGGAUCUUGCUGAACUCUUGGAUGAGGAACUGCAUAGGAGGGGAACUUCGGUAAUUCCGGCCGGUGAGUUAUUUGGUAAAUGGAAGGGUCUACGUGAGACUGCAACUGACCAUGAGAUCGUCUGGCCUCCAAUGGUUAUUGUUAGAAAUACAAUACUUGAGCAUGAUGAAAAUGAAAAGUGUCUGAACCCGCCUAUACUAGCGUUUGUCCAAAGCAAGGAAAGAGCAAAGGAUCUCUACAAGGAAUUAGCAUUUGACAACAUAAAAAAUAACAUUAUCCAUGCAGAUUUGACUCGGACACAGGUAACUUUGUGCCUUGCAUUAUCAAAUGGUUAAGGUCAAUCAACGCUGGUGGAUUGUGGGAACCCUAUUCCUGAAAAAAAAGAAA